rnacentral:rRNA from 1 species
UUACGGAAGGCAGCAGUGGGGAAUAUUGGACAAUGGGCGCAAGCCUGAUCCAGCAAUGCCGCGUGAGUGAUGAAGGCCCUAGGGUUGUAAAGCUCUUUCACCCGCGACGAUGAUGACGGUAGCGGGAGAAGAAGCCCCGGCUAACUUCGUGCCAGCAGCCGCGGUAAUACGAAGGGGGCUAGCGUUGUUCGGAAUUACUGGGCGUAAAGGGCGCGCAGGCGGUCCUUCAAGUCAGGCGUGAAAGCCCCGGGCUCAACCUGGGAAUAGCGCUUGAGACUGAGGGACUUGAGUUCGGGAGAGGAGAGCGGAAUUCCCACUGUAGAGGUGAAAUUCGUAGAUAUUGGGAAGAACACCGGUGGCGAAGGCGGCUCUCUGGACCGACACUGACGCUGAGGCGCGAAAGCGUGGGGAGCAAACAGGAUUAGAUACCCCUGUAGUCCG